GCAACCUUCCCACAGCUGUCUCCUUUGGAUCUUUUUGCGGUCUGGGCUUGCUGUUCUCUCGACAGUAGUCAGGAAGCCCUUACCCCAAAAAGUAUCUACGGGAGGCUUGGUCUACAGGGGAGACC
rnacentral:pre_miRNA from 7 species